rnacentral:rRNA from 1 species
GAUGAACGCUGGCGGCGUGCCUAAUACAUGCAAGUCGAGCGAACAGAUAAGGAGCUUGCUCCUUUGACGUUAGCGGCGGACGGGUGAGUAACACGUGGGUAACCUACCUAUAAGACUGGAAUAACUCCGGGAAACCGGGGCUAAUGCCGGAUAACAUUUAGAACCGCAUGGUUCUAAAGUGAAAGAUGGUUUUGCUAUCACUUAUAGAUGGACCCGCGCUGUAUUAGCUAGUUGGUAAGGUAACGGCUUACCAAGGCAACGAUGCGUAGCCGACCUGAGAGGGUGAUCGGCCACACUGGAACUGAGACACGGUCCAGACUCCUACGGGAGGCAGCAGUAGGGAAUCUUCCGCAAUGGGCGAAAGCCUGACGGAGCAACGCCGCGUGAGUGAUGAAGGUCUUCGGAUCGUAAAACUCUGUUAUUAGGGAAGAACAAAUGUGUAAGUAACUGUGCACGUCUUGACGGUACCUAAUCAGAAAGCCACGGCUAACUACGUG